rnacentral:rRNA from 1 species
GACGAACGCUGGCGGCGUGCUUAACACAUGCAAGUCGAGCGGUAAGGCCCUUUGGGGUACACGAGCGGCGAACGGGUGAGUAACACGUGAGUAAUCUGCCUUUGGCUUGGGAAUAACUUCGGGAAAUCGGGGCUAAUGCCUGAUGUUUACUGUCUGCUGCAUGGUGGGUGGUGGAAAGAUUUUUUGGCCAGGGAUGAGCUCGCGGUCUAUCAGCUUGUUGGUGGGGUAAUGGCUACCAAGGCUUUGACGGGUAGCCGGCCUGAGAGGGUGUUCGGCCACACUGGGACUGAGACACGGCCCAGACUCCUACGGGAGGCAGCAGUGGGGAAUAUUGCGCAAUGGGCGUAAGCCUGACGCAGCGACGCCGC